rnacentral:tRNA from 1 species
UCCCUGGUGGUGUAGGGUUCUAAGAAUCCAGCAUUGUCACUGCUGAAGCACAGGUUCGAUCCCUGGUCAGGGAA